rnacentral:lncRNA from 1 species
AAUUUAAAUAGUUAAGAGGUUUUUCUUUGUUCCUUCAACAAAAAAACUUAUAGACUCUAAAAUUAUUUUAAAUUGAAAAAAUCAAACCCUAAUAAUUAAGAACAAUCAAUUCCAUAAUGGAUCAAGGUAAGUUCCUAUUAAUUUCUUUUAUUUUGUUAUCACUAAAUUGAUAUUGAGGGUAAUUUUGUGUUCUAAAAAUUUAUUUAAAUCCAACAAGAACUCCCCAUGAAUCUUGAUUGUGAGGCACCAUAGUUGAUGCUUGGGGCAUUGAUUUUCUAUCAAGAGUAAAAGUUUUGAACAUGUCGAGAGCAUGAUUUUCUCGUUUUUUUUUUUUUUUUGCCAAAGCUUAACUCACCAUUAGGGCACUUGUGCUUAUUAACGGCUUUUUGCUUAGUAACUUCAUGUUAAAAGUUGAA